GGUUGCGAUCAUACCAGCACUAAUGCACCGGAUCCCAUCAGAACUCCGCAGUUAGCGUGCUUGGGCGAGAGUAGUACUAGGAUGGGUGACCCCCUGGGAAGUCCUCGUGUUGCAACCC
rnacentral:rRNA from 1 species